GAGGGUCUCACUUUGAUUUUCCUGAUUUUUUAUAUUUUUUUCACUGCUUACUGAAUUUCUGAUUGGAAACUUGGAAAUCCUUAAAGGUUAUGAAUAACAUAUCCCAUGAAUUGUCCGCACAGGCCUGUGUAAGAUGAAAUGUAAACUCGCCGAGAUUGAGGAAAAAUGAGAAACAGCAACUGAGGAGAAUGUAACGCUAGUAUCGUCAGCUGUGGUGGCCACAAACUUCGCCGUCGGUCGAGCAAACGAAUAAGUACCGGUUUAAUGUUUUCCUGUUUUGUAAUGUUGUUUACUAUCAAAAAAUAUAAUGUAGUCUUUUUUUAAACUUUUUAUAAUUUAUCUAAAUAAUGCAAUAUCUAAUUUUAUUUUAAUUUUUUGUAAUAAUAAAUUUCUUUUUU
ensembl:lincRNA linc-17 ncRNA